rnacentral:rRNA from 1 species
CCUACGGGGGGCAGCAGUGGGGAAUAUUGGACAAUGGGGGGAACCCUGAUCCAGCCAUGCCGCGUGUGUGAAGAAGGCCCUCGGGUUGUAAAGCACUUUCAGUGAGGAAGAACGCCUGGUGGUUAAUACCCAUCAGGAAAGACAUCACUCACAGAAGAAGCACCGGCUAACUCCGUGCCAGCAGCCGCGGUAAUACGGAGGGUGCGAGCGUUAAUCGGAAUUACUGGGCGUAAAGCGCGCGUAGGUGGCUUGAUGAGCCGGUUGUGAAAGCCCCGGGCUCAACCUGGGAACGGCAUCCGGAACUGUCAAGCUAGAGUGCAGGAGAGGAAGGUAGAAUUCCCGGUGUAGCGGUGAAAUGCGUAGAGAUCGGGAGGAAUACCAGUGGCGAAGGCGGCCUUCUGGACUGACACUGACACUGAGGUGCGAAAGCGUGGGUAGCAAACAGGAUUAGAUACCCUUGUAGUC